GGGGCACAGUCUAGUGGGAGAUAAAUGUACCAUGCACACACAGAGGAGCAAGCCAAUGCUAGGUUAGCAGCAGGAGCCUGAUUCACUCCCCCUGAGAGCUUAGGCACUAACUGAUCCUACAAAAGGUGCCAGAGGUCUCCUGUCACAGCUGAAUGUGUGACACACCACAGAGGAGCCAUCCAUCCUUUCCUGUGUUCUCAGGUCUUCAAACAGACUUGAGCUGGAUUCAAGUUUGAAGGUUUCAAAAAGGAUAAACAGCAAUUCAGGAUCAAUAUGGACACCCAGGCAGUCAGUCUGCAGCUGUGACUAGAAGCUAUUCUCCAAACAAAGACUGGUGAAAAGGCUGUUGAAAACAGAAGUCUAGACCCCAAGGAAAUCUGCAGUUGGAUGAACCCUAGGUCAUAUUUCCUCUGUUAACCUCUGACAACAGUUACCGCAAGCUGUGCUGUUACCAGAUUUAAGUAAGUGUGGACUUGUUGCAUCCUGCCUUUCCAAUUGUUCUGUGUGGGAGCUUUCCCUGGAGCAAACCAGACAGAGACUGGCCACACAGCCACACCACGGACAACCAACAUCAUGCCUCAAGAAAUAAGAAGCCACAACUGAUGACAUCCAGACAGCUUAUGGUGAGGAGAAAAGGACUUACAAAAUACUCUGGGACCAAUUUGGAGUGGUCAUGUAGAUCUACAGCCCAUGAUUGGCCAGAAGACUUCUAGAACAUUC